GUCAAUAAAACAAAUUUGUACAUAUUAAGUAGAGUGGUGUCUGACCAGUGACAAUAGGUGGUGUGGUGCAAGGUCAGUGACAGAUAUAGGUAGUGGGGUGCCUAGCCAGUGAAAACAGGUGAUGUGGUGCCAGAUCAGUGACAGAUAGAGGUGGUGUGGUGCCUGGCCAGUGACAACAGGUGGUGUGGUGCCAGAUCAGUGACAGAUAGAGGUGGUGUGGUGCCUGGCCAGUGACAACAGGUGGUGUGGUGCCUGGCCAGUGACAAUAGGUGGUGUGGUGUCAGAUCAGUGACAGAGGUGGUGUGGUGCCUGGUCAGUGACAGAUAGAGGUGGUGUGGUGCCUGGCCAGUGACAACAGGUGGUGUGGUGCCUGGCCAGUGACAAUAGGUGGUGUAGUGUCAGAUCAGUGACAGAGGUGGUGUGGUGCCUGGUCAGUGACAGAUAGAGGUGGUGUGGUGCCUGGCCAGUGACAAUAGGUGGUGUAGUGUCAGAUCAGUGACAGAGGUGGUGUGGUGCCUGGUCAGUGACAGAUAGAGGUGGUGUGGUGCCUGGCCAGUGACAAUAGGUGGUGUAGUGUCAGAUCAGUGACAGAGGUGGUGUGGUGCCUGGUCAGUGACAGAUAGAGGUGGUGUGGUGCCUGGUCAGUGCCACUACUGAUGCACGAGUGACUCACAGAAGUAGACUGCGAGGUACUGGGUCUCCUCCACCAUGGUCUCGAGCAUGACCCGGGUGAUAAGCUCUAUGCGAUCCUCUGUCUUCUGCGUGAUGAGCCACUGCAGCACCUCCUCUUCUUCGGACAGCUCUCCUGCAGGCACGCAGUCAACGGCCCUAGAUCGCUAUACCUCCUCAUACACAGGCGUGGAUCCAAGGGGGAUCCCAUCACCCAGGGAAGCAAAAUCGAUGAUGAAGCCAAAUACAUAAAGUCCCCCGCAAUGUCUUACAUGAAACCAAAAUAUUGAUAGCUGUGUGCCACAUUGACACAGAGUAACAUGUUUCCUUCAUCCUUCAACUUUUCAGCUGUCCUAAGCUCAAGGGAAAAGCGUGGCUUGGAAUGUUUGAAGGGGGUGGCGGGCGACAAGCUGGGCUGUCCCAUUACUGGAGUGGAGGGUGGAGUGAGGAGAGUUGCAGUGCGACCACAACCAACCCCCCCCCCCCUUCCCAACUAUACGCCGCGCCAACAAAUCUAUAAUUUUUACAUGGGGUGGACCCCCGGACUCUCCCAUUUUAAAUACUUUUGAAACCUACAUUCGCCCCCUGUGACAAACGCUGGAUCCGCCCCUGCUCAUACAUAUAUCAGUUCCUUCAUCAUCACAAUUUGUAAUUACAAAAAAAUUAACAUAAAAAUCUGUGGCAUAAGUAGCCUCAUGUCAUAUGUCAAAUUAAUCUAUAUAUUAUCUGCACACUUGAUGGGUAUUUUUAGUUAUAAAUUGAAAAAAAAAAAAUUUUAAAGUUAGAUGUGUAUAUAUAUUUUUUAAUAGUGUUGUAACAAUGAAUUUACUAUAAAAAAAAGUUUUACAUUAUCAUUUCAGGCUAUGAUAUAAAAAAAAACUGGAAGCCAAACAUCAAUAUUUUUAGGGGCUGACAUUCUUGUACAUCUAGCAAUGUGAUGUGUUACCUCAUUUUCAUGCCGUACCUAAUUUUUUUAUCUGGGACAAUUUCUUCAGAUUUUCCAUUGUAUAAACAUUACAUUUUGUUUUCGGUAUCAAGAGUUACCACCAUACACAUGCUACUUGUUAUCUGCCAGUUGUAAAAAGUCCAAUAAAUAUUUAUAAUUCUAA